GAUCCUGGCUCAGGAUGAACGCUAGCUACAGGCUUAACACAUGCAAGUCGAGGGGAAACGAUAGAGAAAGCUUGCUUUUUCUAGGCGUCGACCGGCGCACGGGUGAGUAACGCGUAUCCAACCUGCCCAUCACUUGGGGAUAACCUUGCGAAAGUAAGCCUAAUACCUCAUAAUACAUAUUAUUCGCAUGAGUUUUAUGUUAAAGAAAUUCGGUUACAGAUGAACAUGCGUUCCAUUAGCUGGUUGGCGGGGUAACGGCCCACCAAGGCGACGAUGGAUAGGGGUUCUGAGAGGAAGGUCCCCCACACUGGUACUGAGACACGGACCAGACUCCUACGGGAGGCAGCAGUGAGGAAUAUUGGUCAAUGGGCGAGAGCCUGAACCAGCCAAGUCGCGUGGAGGAAGACUGCCCUAUGGGUUGUAAACUCCUUUUACCUGGGAAUAACGGGCGCUACGUGUAGCGCUGUGCAUGUACCGGGAGAAUAAGCAUCGGCUAAUUCCGUG
rnacentral:rRNA from 1 species